CCUUACUGCUAUCGGGACGAGAUUUAGCCAUGCAAGUCGAGCGCUUCCUAGCUAUGUUGGAAGCGCGGCGUACAGCUCAGUAACACGUAGUCAACCUACCCUUGGAAUGGAGAUAAUCCCGGGAAACUGGGUCUAAUAUCCAAUAGGUGAGAGAACUUGGAAUAGUUUUUCGCUGAAAGGGUGUCAAAAACAUGCUUUUGAUAUUGUCCAAGGACGGGACUGCGACCGAUCAGGUUGUUGGUAGGGUAACGGCCUACCAAGCCUAUAACCGGUACGGGCCCUGAGAGGGGUAGCCCGGAGAUGGGAACUGAGACAAGGUCCCAGGCCCCACGGGGCGCAGCAGGCGCGGAACCUCCACAAUGCACGAAAGUGCGAUGGGGUUAUCCCGAGUGCCGUCCGUUGAGGAUGGCUUUUCCUUGGUGUAAGGAGCCGAGGGAAUAAGAGGGGGGCAGGACUGGUGUCAGCCGCCGCGGUAAUACCAGCUCCUCGAGUUGUAAGGACGAUUAUUUAGCCUAAAGCGUUCGUAGCUGGCUUAGUAAAUCCCUUGUGAAAUCCGACGAUUCAAUCGUCGGGCGUGCGAGGGAAACUGCUAGGCUAGGGGGUGGGAGAAGUCAACGGUAGUCUCAGGGUAGGGGUGAAAUCCUAUAAUCCUGAGAGGACCACCAGUGGCGAAGGCGGUUGACUAGAACAUGCCCGACAGUGAUGGACGAAAGCUGGGGGAGCGAACCGGAUUAGAUACCCGGGUAGUCCCAGCUGUAAACGAUGCGGGCUAGGUGUUGGGGUAGCCAAGAGCUACCCCAGUGCCGCAGGGAAGCCCUUAAGCCCGCCGCUUGGGAAGUACGGUCGCAAGGCUGAAACUUAAAGGAAUUGGCGGGGGAGCACCACAAGGGGUGAAGGCUGCGGUUUAAUUGGAGUCAACGCCGGGAAACUUACCGGGGCCGACAGCAGAAUGAAGGUCAGACUGAAGAUCUUACCAGACAAGCUGAGAGGUGGCGCAUGGCCGUCGCCAGUUCGUGCCGUGAGGUGUCCUCUUAAGUGAGGCAACGAACGAGACCCCCGCUACUAGUUGCCAGCGGAUUCCUUCGGAAUGCCGGGUACUCUAGUAGGACUGCCACCGAUAAGGUGGAGGAGGGAGGGGGCUACGGCAGGUCAGUAUGCCCCGAAUGCCCCGGGCCACACGCGGCCUGCAAUGGUAGGGACAGAGAGUUUCGACUCCGAAAGGAGAAGGCAAUCCCUAAACCCUAUCUCAGUUGGGAUUGAGGGCUGAAACUCGCCCUCAUGAACAUGGAAUCCCUAGUAACCGCAUGUCAUCAUCAUGCGGUGAAUACGUCCCUGCUCCUUGCACACACCGCCCGUCGCUCCACCCAAAUCGGGUCCGGAUGAGGCUCAGUCGUUUUGGCUGUGUCGAAUCUAGGUUCGGUGAGGAGGGAG
rnacentral:rRNA from 1 species